GUUUCAUUUUAAGUCUGUUUCAGCUGCACAUUUUGAGUUUAUCUGUGCCUCCCUGCUAAAAGUGAUUUAAUCAGGUAUCUCAAAAUGACACCUGCAAUCCCGGCUACUCAGGAGGCUGAGACAUGAGAAUCACUUGAACCCCAGAGGUGGAAGUUGCAGUGAGUCAAGAUCGCGCCACUGCACUCCAGCCUGGGUGACAGAGUGAGACUCUGUAUAUAAAACAGCGAUAUCUCAAAAUGACACCUAAAAAUUUGAUGAAUUUUAAAUAAUUGGAGUCAUAGAGACACAGGGAAAUGAGAAGAGGAAACCUGGAGUGAAAUCCAUCAGACUGUUUUUUGAGGACACUCUUGGCACUGACCUAAGGCAGCUAAGAAAGAGCAUGCAGCUAUCAUUCUUUGGAACACUACAUCUUGGAAACAGGUGCAGAAUUUAGUUUUCCACAGUUUGACAGUCACGCAGAUGGCCUUCUCACCUAAUGAGAAGUUCUUACUAGCUGUUUCCAGAGAUCGAACCUGGUCAUUGUGGAAAAAGCAGGAUACAAUCUCACCUGAGUUCGGUAAAACAGCUUCUGAUUGGGAAAGUUAUUAGUGAAACAGUUAUGUUCAUUUUAUCUACAUUAAGCAGCUUUAGUUAAGAGAAAGAUAACAGAGUGAAGGGUAGAGCCUCAUGUCUUUGAAGCCUUUCAAAGUUCUUGGAUAACUGAGGAAGACUUGACCUUCCUUGUAAGAUUUAAAUGGAGAUGAUCUUUAUUUGGGUUGACCUACUUGUGAUUAUGUAGUCAAGAUGGCAUGCAUUCAGAUAUCUCAGUUCAAGAAACAUAAACAUCUGUAUGUAGGAAGUUAGGUUUUGCAAAUGGUGAUAGAAUGCUACCACAAAGCCUAAUGGAUAACUUAUCCUAAGCUAGGAUUUUAUGGGACAGGAAUAAUGAAGAUACAACUAAGAAAACUCAUGGUUGAGUGGUUUCUUCUCUCUGAACUAUUUUAUUAAUAUAGUACUAUUUUAAAUUAUGAAAUGUAGAGGAAACCAUUAUCCUUAGCUUUUUCCUACCCUCUCCAGUCACCUCCUUCAUUGAGAAGGGCAUAUUAGGCAUCCAUCUGGAUAAAUGACCCCUGAG
rnacentral:lncRNA from 1 species